rnacentral:rRNA from 1 species
UACGUAGGGUGCAAGCGUUGUCCGGAAUUAUUGGGCGUAAAGAGCUUGUAGGCGGUUUGUCGCGUCUGCUGUGAAAAUCCGGGGCUCAACCCCGGACUUGCAGUGGGUACGGGCAGACUGGAGUGUGGUAGGGGAGACUGGAAUUCCUGGUGUAGCGGUGGAAUGCGCAGAUAUCAGGAGGAACACCGAUGGCGAAGGCAGGUCUCUGGGCCACUACUGACGUUGAGAAGCGAAAGCAUGGGGAGCGAACAGG